UUUGUAUUUUUAGUAGAGAUGAGGUUUCACCAUGUUGGCCAGGCUUGUCUUGAACUCCUGACCUCGUGAUCCACCCGCCUUGGCCUCCCAAAGUUCUAGGAUUACAGGCGUGAGCCACUGUGCCCAGCCUCUCACACCCCUUAUAAUGUGGGAUAUCAUUAGCCCCAUUUUAUAUGUGCUCAGAAGGUUUAAGACAUUUACUUGUGACUCUAAGUCGCAUGAGUUUCCUAUUCUCCAGUGCUUGGAGGCCAGGUUCCAGGUGAAUGUAAAAACCUUGAUCUGGAGGUUAAGUGCCUCUCCUUUCUACCUGGGGACAGGUGUGCAGGAAGAACUAAUGGCUCCACCUGAGGCUAGGCAACACUGUAGUGAGCCCCGCAGCAUCAGCCUGCAUUUUAUUUCAGGUAGUUUUUAUACAAAAACAUCUUGAUGAAGCUUUUGUAUUAGAACUUCAGACAAAGGAAUGGAGAUGAACUGAAUAUAUGUGGAAUAUAUAUAAUACGUACUGAAUACAUAUAAUGUGGAUGUAAUUAGAUAUGUUAAUUGAACAGUUUUCAUUUUUACUUGUUGCAUAAAAUUCCCUUGCUUGAAAAUUGUUAUUUUAAAAAUGAGGAAACUGGACUCAAUAAGAUCAGAUGACUUAUCUAUGGUCAUGGAGUUAGC
rnacentral:lncRNA from 1 species